rnacentral:rRNA from 1 species
GAUUAACGCUGGCGGCGUGCAUAACACAUGCAAGUCGAACGAUGAAACUUUAAUGAACCCUUCGGGGAGAAUUAAAGCGGCUUAGUGGCGAACGGGUGAGUAACGCGUGAGUAACCUGCCUUACACAAGGGGAUAGCCUUUGGAAACGAAGAAUAAUACCCUAUAAAACCAUAAAAGCACAUGCAAUUAUGGUCAAAGUGAUAGCGGUGUAAGAUGGACUUGCGUCUGAUUAGCUAGUUGGUGAGAUAAAAGCCCACCAAGGCAACGAUCAGUAGCCGGCUUGAGAGAGUGUACGGCCACAUUGGGAAUGAGACACGGCCCAGACUCCUACGGGAGGCAGCAGUGGGGAAUUUUGCACAAUGGGGGAAACCCUGAUGCAGCGACGCCGCGUGAUUUAGAAGGCCUUCGGGUUGUAAAAAUCUUUUGUAUAGGAAGAAAAUGACAGUACUAUACGAAUAAGGUCCGGCUAAUUACGUG